rnacentral:rRNA from 1 species
ACUCCUGCGGGAGGCAGCAGUGGGGAAUAUUGGACAAUGGGCGCAAGCCUGAUCCAGCCAUGCCGCGUGAGUGAUGAAGGCCCUAGGGUUGUAAAGCUCUUUCACCGGAGAAGAUAAUGACGGUAUCCGGAGAAGAAGCCCCGGCUAACUUCGUGCCAGCAGCCGCGGUAAUACGAAGGGGGCUAGCGUUGUUCGGAAUUACUGGGCGUAAAGCGCACGUAGGCGGAUCGAUCAGUCAGGGGUGAAAUCCCAGGGCUCAACCCUGGAACUGCCUUUGAUACUGUCGAUCUGGAGUAUGGAAGAGGUGAGUGGAAUUCCGAGUGUAGAGGUGAAAUUCGUAGAUAUUCGGAGGAACACCAGUGGCGAAGGCGGCUCACUGGUCCAUUACUGACGCUGAGGUGCGAAAGCGUGGGGAGCAAACAGGAUUAGAAACCCUAGUAGUCCCAUGA